rnacentral:rRNA from 1 species
GACGAACGCUGGCGGCGUGCUUAACACAUGCAAGUCGAACGGAAAGGCCCUGCUUUUGUGGGGUGCUCGAGUGGCGAACGGGUGAGUAACACGUGAGUAACCUGCCCUUGACUUUGGGAUAACUUCAGGAAACUGGGGCUAAUACCGGAUAGGAUCUCCUGCUGCAUGGUGGGGGUUGGAAAGUUUCGGCGGUUGGGGAUGGACUCGCGGCUUAUCAGCUUGUUGGUGGGGUAGUGGCUUACCAAGGCUUUGACGGGUAGCCGGCCUGAGAGGGUGACCGGCCACAUUGGGACUGAGAUACGGCCCAGACUCCUACGGGAGGCAGCAGUGGGGAAUAUUGCACAAUGGGCGGAAGCCUGAUGCAGCAACGCCGCGUGCGGGAUGACGGCUUUCGGGUUGUAAACCGCUUUCGACUGUGACGAAGCGUGAGUGACGGUAAUGGGUAAAGAAGCACCGGCUAACUACGUG